UAACUUCUGUUCAGACUUUCCAGCAUUAUUCUUGUAUCUGUGAUUCCUGUUUUUGACCCCGGACUGCUUUUGACCACCGAGUACUGUUUUGUCCUCCUGCUUCUGACUGUCAUAUGUGUAUUGACCUCUCAUUUGUGGAUCCCUUGGCUGUUGGCUGUAACAUGAGCAAGGCUCCUCACCCUCUGGUUACCAAGCAGCACGGCAGUUGACACAUCUACAGCUCAUCCACUAAUCAGCUCCAACAAUCCUUGCAGUGUGCUGCCACCUUGCUCUGCUCAUCUGUCACCUAUCUGGCUUCUUCUGUCUUCGGUCACGCAAGUCAGCGUUUUACCUGCAUGCUUCCCAGUGCAGAACACCGGUGCCUCCGAGACCGAGGUUUUGUGUAUCGAUUCCACUCCAGAUGCACCACUUACGGCAAAUGGUGAGCCACAUGACUUUGAGAAAUUCACCCACCUGGGUAGUCUUGUCAGUAAGAACAAUGCAGCACAAAAGAACAUGAAAAAAAAAGCCUUGGCAAAGGUUGCAGUGCUUUGCAAGGCUUAAGUCGAUAUGGAAGUUGAAGCAGUACAGAAUCACAGGUCGAACUGUACAACAGAAAUGUCAAACCAGGUCUGCUGUGUGGUACUAAAAUGCUGGUGAGAAAUAUAAGGUGACAUGAACAAGGUCACUGCCUUCCACAAUGGGUCCCUCGGGAUGUCACAUCUUCUGAUUCUGAAAAGCUCUCCAAUGAAAAACUAUACAAGAAAAGAAGAGAAAAAGCAUGGUGCUGGAAAUCAACCAUCACCACAUCCGAUGGUUUGGGCAUGGCCUCAGAAUAGACCAGGACUGUAUCUCAAAGACUGCUCUAUGACGGACACCACCUGGAAAAGGAGAUAAGGUGGGGAUGAACAGUGACAGCUGAGUUGAAAGAGAUGAAAGAGAUGAGCUUGACAUGGGAUGAGAGACAGCACGCUGCAUAAUAGAGACAAAAGUUGCUGCCUUAUGUCCCAUUGGGAGCCAAGAGGACUAAAUAAAUAAG